CACUUUGACGCACUAAUGAGCAACCCUGUAUAUAUCUCGUCCGAUCACCGAAGUUAAGCAAUGUCGUGCGCGGUUAGUACUUGGAUGGGUGACCGCUUGAGAACACCGCGUGCCGUUGUGU
rnacentral:rRNA from 1 species